rnacentral:rRNA from 1 species
GCGAACUCCGGGUCAGCUGCCGUGUGAAGACGGAGGGUUCAAUCGUGAUUCGGAUUCACUGGGUUUAAAGGGUGUGUAGGCGGGCUGUUAAGUCAGGGGUGAAAUCUCCGGUCUCAACCCGGAAACUGCCAUUGAUACUAUCAGUCUUGAAUUUUGUUGAGGUAGGCGGAAUAUAUCAUGUAGCGGUGAAAUGCUUAGAUAUGAUAUAGAACACCGAUUGUGAAGGCAGCUUACUAAGCAAAUAUUGACGCUGAGGCACGAAAGCGUGGGGAUCAAACAGGAUUAGAUACCCCGGUAGUC